GACGAACGCUGGCGGCGUGCUUAACACAUGCAAGUCGAACGGAAAGGCCCUGCUUUUGUGGGGUGCUCGAGUGGCGAACGGGUGAGUAACACGUGAGUAACCUGCCCUUGACUUUGGGAUAACUUCAGGAAACUGGGGCUCAUACCCGAUAGGAGCUCCUGCUGCAUGGUGGGGGUUGGAAAGUUUCGGCGGUUGGGGAUGGACUCGCGGCUUAUCCGCUUGUUGGUGGGGUAGUGGCUUACCAAGGCUUUGACGGGUAGCCGGCCUGAGAGGGUGACCGGCCACAUUGGGACUGAGAUACGGCCCAGACUCCUACGGGAGGCAGCAGUGGGGAAUAUUGCACAAUGGGCGGAAGCCUGAUGCAGCAACGCCGCGUGCGGGAUGACGGCCUUCGGGUUGUAAACCGCUUUCGCCUGUGACGAAGCGUGAGUGACGGUAAUGGGUAAAGAAGCACCGGCUAACUACGUG
rnacentral:rRNA from 1 species